CCCUUAGAUGUCCUGGGCCGCACGCGUGCUACACUGACGCCUACAGCGAGUACUUCCCAGCCCCGAGAGGCGGCUGGUAAUCAGCAAUAGGCGUCGUGAUGGGGAUAGAUUAUUGCAAUUAUUAAUCUUCAACGAGGAAUGCCUAGUAAGCGCAAGUCAUCAGCUUGCGUUGAUUACGUCCCUGCCCUUUGUACACACCGCCCGUCGCUCCUACCGAUUGAAUGGUCCGGUGAAGCGUUCGGACCGUGGCCUUUGGACGGUUCGCCGUCUGUUGGCUGCGGGAAGUUCGUUAAACCUUAUCAUUUAGAGGAAGGAGAAGUCGUAACA
rnacentral:rRNA from 1 species